UACGUAGGGUGCUAGCGUUGUUCGGAAUCAUUGGGCGUAAAGCGCGUGUAGGUGGUUAGUUAAGUCGGGUGUGAAAUCCCUGGGCUCAACCGAGGAAGUGCAUCCGAAACUAACUAGCUAGAGAGUGGUAGAGGAAGGUGGAAUUCCUAGUGUAGAGGUGAAAUUCGUAGAUAUUAGGAGGAAUACCGGUGGCGAAGGCGGCCUUCUGGACCAUUUCUGACACUGAGACGCGAAAGCGUGGGGAGCAAACAGG
rnacentral:rRNA from 1 species